rfam:Drosophila persimilis strain MSH-3 cont1.020934, whole genome shotgun sequence.
UCCUCGAAAGUAUAGUGGUCAGUAUCCCCGCCUGUCACGCGGGAGACCGGGGUUCAAUUCCCCGUCGGUGAG